rnacentral:rRNA from 1 species
GUGUGGACGGGAUAAGUGCUGAAAGCAUCUAAGCAUGAAGCCCCCCUCAAGAUGAGAUUUCCCAUAGCGCAAGCUAGUAAGAUCCCUGAAAGAUGAUCAGGUUGAUAGGUCAGAGGUGGAAGCACGGCGACGUGUGUAGCUGACUGAUACUAAUCGAUCGAGGACUUAACCAAAUU